CACGUAGGGUGCGAGCGUUGUCCGGAAUUAUUGGGCGUAAAGAGCUCGUAGGCGGUGUGUCGCGUCGGCCGUGAAAACCUGCAGCUUAACUGUGGGCUUGCGGUCGAUACGGGCAUCACUGGAGUUCGGCAGGGGAGACUGGAAUUCCUGGUGUAGCGGUGAAAUGCGUAGAUAUCUGGAGGAACACCGGUGGCGAAGGCGGCAUCCUGGACCGAGAUUGACGCUGAGGCGCGAAAGCCAGGGGAGCAAACGGG
rnacentral:rRNA from 1 species